ensembl:lncRNA
GACUUUCUGUUCUGACAGUGUUACUUACUCACCCUCCCCAACACUCCCAUUACAGUACUGCAGGAACAUCCCAGUUCAACACCUGGGAGGAUUAAAGUGGAGUUUCGGACCCUCGCUUUACCCUCAUUGUGGAAAAAUGAAGAGGCUGUGGGUCUUAGACGGACGGGCAUGAGAGCAGCGUGAGGUGGAAGCCUGUUCCUGGAUGAAAGCUGCAGUGGAAGUUCCCUCUCAUGGAGCGAAGGAACUCAAGGAGGGAAAGAGGAGAGGGGAAGAGGAAAGACGGCGCAGAGGGAAGGACUGAGUGGUACUUAUUGGAUGAAGACUUCAAAGCAGCACAGCAGCCAGACGGACUGAGGCUCCGGGGAAAUUAUUUACCUGACAAGCACACAGCUUUCCAAACAUUACACAACAUUACUGACCAAACAUUUAGAAAACAGAACCCUCUCUCCACAGAUUUAGUUAGGUGAAUCACAUCCGGUGAGUAAGCAGAUUAUUCAACAGAGGGACGAGAUGUCUCUGCUGUCUCUCUCGUCCCCCGUCACUCCAACUUUUCAAAAUCACAGAUGAUCAACACACUGGAACUGCUCACUGUGACGCUACAAUGAAGUUUACUUUUCUGCAGCUGUGUAACAUCUGUGGCUCAAAGAAGCUCAAAGUGGAAAAAAUAAACCUAAUGCUGCUGUCAGAUCAUCCCUCUACUGAGUUGCAUUAUGGGAACUCUAGGCUUUUGGAGCUUGACCCAACAAGAAACUAAAGGUCAGUGGACCUCUUCCUCUGCUGCUUUGAUCGUUCUUUUAAUCCAUGGCUCCUCUUUAUUUAGUAUCACUAUGACAGCUUGUAUCAAACGUCUAGUUGAUAUCGUACUUGUAUGACGUCCUAGCUAUUUUGUUUCAAAUAAUAGGAUAAUUAGUACUUUUUUUUCAAAAAGUGUUCAAAAAUGAUAUUUAACCACUUGAGAACGGUGUUUUAUUCACCAUUUAAAGAGAAGCUGAUCCAAUAGAAUCACAUAGCUGGCCACUUCUGUAGUUUCUAACAUAUUAAAACUAAGAAAGACCUUUCGUCAAAAAAAUAUUUAUAAACACAUGUUCUAAUCAUAGUUGCAAGCACAAUUCCAAGUGACUUAAAGCUGUGGAUCCCAAGAUCGC